CCUACGGGAGGCAGCAGUGGGGAAUAUUGCACAAUGGGGGAAACCCUGAUGCAGCGACGCCGCGUGAGUGAUGAAGUAUUUCGGUAUGUAAAGCUCUAUCAGCAGGGAAGAUAAUGACGGUACCUGACUAAGAAGCUCCGGAGAAAUACGGGCUAGAAGCCGCGGUAAUACGUAUGGAGCAAGCGUUAGCCGGAUUUACUGGGUGGAAAGGGAGCGGAGACGGCAGGGCAAGUCUGAUGUGAAAGUCCGGGGCUCAACCCCGGGACUGCAUUGGAAACUGUCCGGCUAGAGUGCAAGAGAGGUAAGUGGAAUUCCUAGUGUAGCGGUGAAAUGCGUAGAUAUUAGGAGGAACACCAGUGGCGAAGGCGGCUUACUGGACUGAAACUGACGUUGAGGCUCGAAAGCGUGGGGAGCAAACAGGAUUAGAUACCCCUGUAGUC
rnacentral:rRNA from 1 species